rnacentral:rRNA from 1 species
UUGGAGGGCAAGUCUGGUGCCAGCAGCCGCGGUAAUUCCAGCUCCAAUAGCGUAUAUUAAAGUUGUUGCAGUUAAAAAGCUCGUAGUUGAACUUCGGGGUCUACCCAUUGGUCAGGCUUAAUUGUCUGUACUGGUGAGAUGGAUCUCUACCUUCUGAGGAACUUUCAUGCCAUUUAUUUGGUGUGAUGGGAAAUCAGGACUGUUACUUUGAAAAAAUUAGAGUGUUUAAAGCAGACUAUCGUCUGAAUACAUUAGCAUGGAAUAAUGAAAUAGGACGGACUGAUUCUAUUUCGUUGGUUUCUAGGAUCACCGUAAUGAUUAAUAGGGAUAGUUGGGGGCAUUAGUAUUCAAUUGUCAGAGGUGAAAUUCUUGGAUUUAUUGAAGACUAACUACUGCGAAAGCAUUUGCCAAGGAUGUUUUCAUUAAUCAAGAACGAAAGUUAGGGGAUCGAAGACGAUCAGAUACCGUCGUAGUCUUAACCAUAAACUAUGCCGACUAGGGAUCGGACGAAGUUAAUUUUAUAAUGACGCGUUCGGCACCUUACGGGAAACCAAAGUGUUUGGGUUC